rnacentral:tmRNA from 1 species
GGGGGCGAACCAGGAUCGACGAGGGUGUAAAGACAGUCUUUUUGCCCGGCAUGGUUCCGCCGUCAUCGGGCCGUUUUAUAGUUGCCAACGACAACUAUGCUGAGGCGCGUCUCGCUGCUUAAUGCAGUGCGACAACCUCGAUUUAAGUCCUUACCUUUAGCCGGGUAAGGCGGGGUUCGGGGGCACCUGGCAACAGAAGCCCCCACU